GUAAUUCCUGACUCCUAGAGGCCUUCUGAAGGACAGCACACCCAUCUUCAAGCCAGGGAAGCCGUACCGCAUUCGAGAAAGGCUGCCAUGCAGAAAUUCAGCUGCAACAAUACAGACACAGGAAACAUCCUCAGAGAUUUCAUCUGAACAUGCAAUGCUAAACAGCUGGCCAAAGCCAUCAUUUUUCUCCCCUUUCUCAUCCCUCAAGCUUGCUGAACUAAUAGCAUCAGCCAGGGAAGGAAGAAGCCCCAAGCACAGAAAUAGCAGGUGCCUCAUCUUUUUUUUGUGCCCAGGACCAGGACCACCACCACUAAGCAGCCAUCACCACACAGGAGGCACUAGAGCACCCCGGGAAGAGACAUCUUUGUCAUCUUUGUCAGCUUUGUCAGGAGGGGAGCUCCCCCUCCCCACCCCACAGAGGGAGUCCCCCAGCCAAGAGGGGAAACUCCUCCCUCACACCCAAUGCAGGGGGGCCCUCCACCCAGGAGGGGCCUCCCUAAGUGGGGGGUGGAGAAGAGGGAGAGCCUCCCCCCCACUCAGGAGGGGAGCUCUCCCCCACCAAGGAG
ensembl:lncRNA